UAAUUAUAUAAAUAGCACCCCCGUAGUUUAUAAAUAAAAAAUAGGUAAAGAUCGCGCAUCUUAUAACCUUGAUAUCUCUUCAGAUACCUACAAUUCGUUACUUCUUAUAGUCUAAAAAACAGCACCAUACGUGAAUCUAAUUUCACCAUAGCUAAAAAUCCAUAAAAUGCAAUAUUAAUUGCGAAAAGUUAAUAAAACCCAAUUUAUCUAUCGCCGAACUGCACGGCGUCUUGGCGCAUGCGCAGAGCAGAUAUUCUAGGGUUUUUAUUUUGGGAGCUAAAGCGAAUCCCGCAGUCCCGCAGAUGAUUAAAAAUUGUAUAAGAAGUUAACUUAUACAUUUUUCUUUUUAAAUAAAUAAUAAUAGUUAAUAUAAAUAAAUAAAAAUUAAAGUUAACAAUGGAUGCACAUACAAUGGUAAUUAUAUUAACAACGUUAUUUUUAAAACUUUCUAUAGUUAAUACAUUUUAUUCGUUUAUAAUUGUAUACUUUGCCGUAUUAUAAACGUGUCAUAAUUAAAUAUUAUAUUUUCAUUUUUACGUUAAUCAGAGAGCAACAGUCGUACGCAUGGUCUUGCAGUCAUUAUAGCAGGCUAAAACACAUCAAUAUAAAAAUAUUGUUAUGCAUCAAUGAGCCAUACAACACCUGAGGCAACAGGAAGCAUAUACUUGGAACUGUGCUCUGAUCAUUCCCUUAUAGUUCUGCACUUUUGGAAACUGGACAUGUAUUAUAUGUAUCAUGAGACAACUACUGGUUAACAAGGAGGCGAUUGCCAAGGCGUGGCUGGGGCUUAUCCCACCUAAGAAUAUUAGGAACAGUCUCAAGGAUUGCUGAAUUUUUCAUUUGCUGAACAUCAAGCUUAAACUCUGCUUUCAAAAGAUAUAAAGCAUACAAAAAGUAUGGCCCAAAUUAUGCUAGGAUAUUAGGAACAGUCUCAAGGUUUCAUCAUACGUGUACGGUAAAGCUGCUGCUACCUGCUGCUACAUCCACGUAUCCUCAAAUUCAUAAUCGACAGCAUCAGUGUGGAAAGCAUCGAGGAACUGCAGAUUUGUAACGAAAAACAGCUUAGCAGUGAGCUUAAGCUCCUCGUCAACAAGCUUAUAAAUGCUACUAUAGUAGCUUAUUUUAAAAUUAAUUUUAGGAGAAUGUGUAGUGUCAAUGUUUUGAGGGGAAGUGAUUACAAUGUCUUUAAAAGAGAAACCAAUAGACUAUGUAUUAUAAUGAAUUUAAUUUGAUGAAAUGAAUGAUAAUGUAUUUAGAAUAAAAAUUCAUAAAUAAAUAUUAAAAGCUC